rfam:Weissella confusa LBAE C39-2, WGS project CAGH01000000 data, contig: WeissC39_1_contig00003
GCGAAUAUAGUUCAGUUGGUAGAACGCUACCUUGCCAUGGUAGAGGUCGCGGGUUCGAAUCCCGUUGUUCGCU